rnacentral:rRNA from 1 species
UACGUAGGGGGCUAGCGUUGUCCGGAAUCAUUGGGCGUAAAGCGCGUGUAGGCGGCCCGGUAAGUCCGCUGUGAAAGUCGGGGGCUCAACCCUCGGAAGCCGGUGGAUACUGUCGGGCUCGAGUACGGAAGAGGCGAGUGGAAUUCCUGGUGUAGCGGUGAAAUGCGCAGAUAUCAGGAGGAACACCGGUGGCGAAGGCGGCUUUCAGGGCCUUACCUGACGCUGAGGAGCGAAAGCUGGGGGAGCAAACAGG